ensembl:antisense Gm10399 predicted gene 10399
UCCGGCAACUUCCUCCACCUUGACCGGGAGGAGGGCCUUGUGCGACGAUCUCAGUCCCGCGGGGCCUGGGAGGUAGCGGCCGUGAGCGCUGGCCCGCCGCUGCGGGACGCACUCCCCGGCCUUGCACUGAGCGCGGGCUGCCGGGCACCCGGCUACGUCCCAGCCCUGCGGCUCUAUCGCGCUUGUCAUCUGGGUUCUCCGGUGCAGGGGCGGGCCACAGCGCCGCCAUCGCUCAGAGCCCAGGGAAAGAUGAUCCCGCGACCGUCCGGCCAAAAGCAACCACGAGACUCGGGUUCUCGAAUGAACUUGGGUCGAGACCACACGAGAAGAGCGAGUUUCGUUUUCAGGUGCUCCCACAGCAGACCCUCUUGGUCUCCCCAACCCCCAUCCUGGCAGAGCCCCGGAGCGCCACAUUUCCGGGCUCAGCUUUCUGGCAUCCCGAUUCUGUGUCCUGGUGGACACCGCCACAGCUGGGCCCUCGGGAGGAUCUGCCCUUGA